rnacentral:lncRNA from 10 species
ACUUCCUUCGCGUGGCUGCAAUCGGGAAGGGCGGAGCUAGUUUGUUCCUUUUGGUCAGGUUUAGCCCGUCACAUCAUCUUGUUCCCGAAUUAUUGUUAUGACUUUUCUCCAGUUUUUACUUAUUACUUAGCUUAUUACAAUUUCAAGUAAUUUAGUUAUUUUUAUUUAUUUAUUUAUUUAUUUAUUUAUUUAUUUAUUUAUUUAUUUUUGGAGUAGUCUUGCUCUGUCGCCCAGGCUGGAGUGCAGUGGCACGAUCUCAGCUCCCUGCAUCCUCCCUCUCCCAGGCUCAAGCGAUUCUCGUGCCUCAGCCUCCUGAGGAGCUGGGAUUACAGGCAGGUACCAUCACACCCGUCUAAUUUUUGUAUUUUCACUAGAGAUGGGGUUUCCUCAUGUUGCCUAGGCUGGUCUCAAACUCCUGACUGCCAGUGACCCGCCCACCUUGGCCUCCCGAAAUGCUGGGAUUACAGGCCUGAGCCACUGCUCCCGGCCUAUUUUUAAACUAUUAAAAAUUUAAAACAAAUGUUGCAAGAAUAAUAUAAUGAAUGCGCAUAUACUCUUCACCUAGAUUCACUUAGUGUUACUAUUUUGCCAAGUUUAUCUUUACCUAUGUAUUUACAUAUUAUUUUGCAAAACCAUUUGAAAACCAAUCACACAUCUCCCUAAAUACUUAGGUAUGUAUCUACUAAGAUCAAGGACUACCUCUUAUGUAAGCACAGCCCGAUUAUGAAAUUAAGGAAAUUUAAUCGUGAUUCAAUACUAGUAUACAAAUUCCAUCUUUAAAUUUUGUCAGUUAUUCCAGUAAUAACCGUUAUAUGUUUCAUUUUAUUUCCUAAUGCAGGAUCAUCUAAAUUCAACUAUUA